GACGAACGCUGGCGGCGUGCUAACACAUGCAAGUCGAACGGUAAGGCCCUUCGGGGUACACGAGUGGCGAACGGGUGAGUAACACGUGGGUGAUCUGCCCUGCACUUCGGGAUAAGCCUGGGAAACUGGGUCUAAUACCGGAUAGGACUCCGGACUGCAUGGUCUGGGGUGGAAAGCUUUUGCGGUGUGGGAUGGGCCCGCGGCCUAUCAGCUUGUUGGUGGGGUGAUGGCCUACCAAGGCGACGACGGGUAGCCGGCCUGAGAGGGUGACCGGCCACACUGGGACUGAGAUCCGGCCCAGACUCCUACGGGAGGCAGCAGUGGGAAUAUUGCACAAUGGGCGCAAGCCUGAUGCAGCGACGCCGCGUGAGGGAUGACGGCCUUCGGGUUGUAAACCUCUUUCAGCACAGACGAAGCGCAAGUGACGGUAUGUGCAGAAGAAGGACCGGCCAACUACGUGCCAGCCGCCGCCGUAA
rnacentral:rRNA from 1 species